rnacentral:piRNA from 1 species
UGGUGAAAAGAGAAACCUCAAACACAAAGA